rnacentral:tRNA from 1 species
GGAAGUGCGCCGGAGCUGGGGAGCCGAGGCAGACUGUAAAUCUGUUGCUUUAUAGCUAAGUAGGUUCGAAUCCUACCACUUCCA